rnacentral:tRNA from 1 species
ACUUAAGUAGCUUAUUAUUAGAGCGUAGUACUGAAGUUACUAAGGAAAUAUAAUUAUUCUUAAGUA